GAUGAACGCUGGCGGCGUGCCUAAUACAUGCAAGUCGAGCGAACGGACGAGAAGCUUGCUUCUCUGAUGUUAGCGGCGGACGGGUGAGUAACACGUGGAUAACCUACCUAUAAGACUGGGAUAACUUCGGGAAACCGGAGCUAAUACCGGAUAAUAUUUUGAACCGCAUGGUUCAAAAGUGAAAGACGGUCUUGCUGUCACUUAUAGAUGGAUCCGCGCUGCAUUAGCUAGUUGGUAAGGUAACGGCUUACCAAGGCAACGAUGCAUAGCCGACCUGAGAGGGUGAUCGGGCACACGGGAACUGAGACACGGUCCAGACUCCUACGGGAGGCAGCAGUAGGGAAUCUUCCGCAAUGGGCGAAAGCCUGACGGAGCAACGCCGCGUGAGUGAUGAAGGUCUUCGGAUCGGAAAACUCUGUUAUUAGGGAAGAACAUAUGUGUAAGUAACUGUGCACAUCUUGACGGUACCUAAUCAGAAAGCCACGGCUAACUACGUG
rnacentral:rRNA from 1 species